ACCAUGCAGUCGACAGGGUAACCACAAUACUUGAGAGUGGCGAACGGGUGAGUAAUAUAUCGGAACGUGCCCAGUCGUGGGGGAUAACGUAGAGAAAUUUACGCUAAUACCGCAUACGAUCUAAGGAUGAAAGCGGGGGAUUCGCAAGAACCUCGCGCGAUUGGAGCGGCUGAUAUCAGAUUAGGUUGUUGGUGAGGUAAAAGCUCACCAAGCCGACGAUCUGUAGCUGGUUUGAGAGAACGACCAGCCACACUGGGACUGAGACACGGCCCAGACUCCUACGGGGGGCAGCAGUGGGGAAUUUUGGACAAUGGGCGAAAGCCUGAUCCAGCAAUGCCGCGUGUGGGAAGAAGGCCUUCGGGUUGUAAACCACUUUUGUACGGAACGAAACGGUUCGCUUUAAUACAGUGGGCUAAUGACGGUACCGUAAGAAUAAGCACCGGCUAACUACGUGCCAGCAGCCGCGGUAAUACGUAGGGUGCGAGCGUUAAUCGGAAUUACUGGGCGUAAAGCGUGCGCAGGCGGUUAUAUAAGACAGUUGUGAAAUCCCCGGGCUCAACCUGGGAAUUGCAUCUGUGACUGUAUAGCUAGAGUACGGUAGAGGGGGAUGGAAUUCCGCGUGUAGCAGUGAAAUGCGUAGAUAUGCGGAGGAACACCGAUGGCGAAGGCAAUCCCCUGGACCUGUACUGACGCUCAUGCACGAAAGCGUGGGGAGCAAACAGGAUUAGAUACCCUGGUAGUCCACGCCCUAAACGAUGUCAACUGGUUGUUGGGUGCAUUAGUACUCAGUAACGAAGCUAACGCGUGAAGUUGACCGCCUGGGGAGUACGGCCGCA
rnacentral:rRNA from 1 species